UACAGAGGUCCCAAACGUUGUUCGGAUUCAUUGGGCGUAAAGGGUGCGUAGGCGGCGCGGUAAGUCGGGUGUGAAAUCUCGGAGCUUAACUCCGAAACUGCAUUCGAUACUGCCGUGCUUGAGGACUGGAGAGGAGACUGGAAUUUACGGUGUAGCGGUGAAAUGCGUAGAUAUCGUAAGGAAGACCAGUGGCGAAGGCGGGUCUCUGGACAGUUCCUGACGCUGAGGCACGAAGGCCAGGGGAGCAAACGGGG
rnacentral:rRNA from 1 species